CAGGAGAGCUUGCUCUCUGGGUGACGAGCGGCGGACGGGUGAGUAAUGUCUGGGAAACUGCCUGAUGGAGGGGGAUAACUACUGGAAACGGUAGCUAAUACCGCAUAACGUCUUCGGACCAAAGUGGGGGACCUUCGGGCCUCACGCCAUCAGAUGUGCCCAGAUGGGAUUAGCUAGUAGGUGGGGUAAUGGCUCACCUAGGCGACGAUCCCUAGCUGGUCUGAGAGGAUGACCAGCCACACUGGAACUGAGACACGGUCCAGACUCCUACGGGAGGCAGCAGUGGGGAAUAUUGCACAAUGGGCGCAAGCCUGAUGCAGCCAUGCCGCGUGUGUGAAGAAGGCCUUCGGGUUGUAAAGCACUUUCAGCGAGGAGGAAGGGUGGUGUGUUAAUAGCGCAUCACAUUGACGUUACUCGCAGAAGAAGCACCGGCUAACUCCGUGCCAGCAGCCGCGGUAAUACGGAGGGUGCAAGCGUUAAUCGGAAUUACUGGGCGUAAAGCGCACGCAGGCGGUUUGUUAAGUCAGAUGUGAAAUCCCCGCGCUUAACGUGGGAACUGCAUUUGAAACUGGCAAGCUAGAGUCUUGUAGAGGGGGGUAGAAUUCCAGGUGUAGCGGUGAAAUGCGUAGAGAUCUGGAGGAAUACCGGUGGCGAAAGCGGCCCCCU
rnacentral:rRNA from 1 species